rnacentral:rRNA from 1 species
CUACGGGUUGCUGCAGUGAGGAAUAUUGCACAAUGGGGGGAACCCUGAUGCAGCAACGCCGCGUGGAGGAUGACGCAUUUCGGUGUGUAAACUCCUUUUAUAUGUCAAGAAAAUGACGGCAGCAUAUGAAUAAGCACCGGCUAACUCCGUGCCAGCAGCCGCGGUAAUACGGAGGGUGCAAGCGUUACUCGGAAUCACUGGGCGUAAAGGACGCGUAGGCGGGUUGGAAGGUCAGGUGUGAAAUCCUACAGCUUAACUGUAGAACUGCACUUGAAACUUCUAAUCUAGAGUAUGGGAGGGGGAGAUGGAAUUAGUGGUGUAGGGGUAAAAUCCGUAGAUAUCACUAGGAAUACCUAAAGCGAAGGCGAUCUCCUGGAACAUUACUGACGCUAAGGCGUGGAAGCGUGGGGAGCAAACAGGAUUAGAUACCCUCGUAGUC